ACCUAGGGUAGAGGUGCUUUAAAAUAAGAGUAUUUAUAAGGAGCUGGCAAGUUUAGAUUUAUAAAGAAAGGAUUUUAGAGCCGAAGUUUUAAACUUGGCGAAGUUUACUGCUGGACUUAUGCAUAAGAUGUAUAAGGCUGUCACUUUUGUGAUGAGCUACAAGGUUU
rnacentral:ncRNA from 2 species